rfam:Yokenella regensburgei ATCC 43003 genomic scaffold Scfld157, whole genome shotgun sequence.
GCACCUGCAAAAUCAGGCGCCGGGAUUGGUCUCCUGAAUAUCAUACCUGCGACAUAAUGGCGCAUCUGCGCUUUUUUU